CCCUUAGAUGUUCUGGGCCGCACGCGCGCUACAAUGAUGAAUUCAACGAGUUUAUAACCUUGGUUGAAAAGCCUGGGUAAUCUUUUGAACUUUCGUCGUGAUGGGGCUAGACCCUUGCAAUUAUUGGUCUCCAACGAGGAAUUCCUAGUAAACGCAAGUCAUCAGCUUGCAUUGAUUACGUCCCUGCCCUUUGUACACACCGCCCGUCGCACCUACCGAUUGGAUGGUCCGGUGAAAUCUUCGGAUUGAGACUUUGAUUUCUUCACGGAAAACGCUGUUUUAAAAAGUUGAUUAAACCUUACCAUUUAGAGGAAGGUGAAGUCGUAACA
rnacentral:rRNA from 1 species